rnacentral:rRNA from 1 species
UGGGGAAUUUUGGACAAUGGGGGCAACCCUGAUCCAGCCAUGCCGCGUGUGUGAAGAAGGCCUUCGGGUUGUAAAGCACUUUCGGCCGGAACGAAAUCGCGCGGGUGAAUAUCCCGCGUGGAUGACGGUACCGGAAGAAGAAGCACCGGCUAACUACGUGCCAGCAGCCGCGGUAAUACGUAGGGUGCGAGCGUUAAUCGGAAUUACUGGUCGUAAAGCGUGCGCAGGCGGUUUUGUAAGCCAGAUGUGAAAGCCCCGGGCUCAACCUGGGAAUGGCAUUUGGGACUGCAAGGCUUGAGUGCGGCAGAGGAGACUGGAAUUCCUGGUGUAGCAGUGAAAUGCGUAGAUAUCAGGAGGAAUACCGAUGGCGAAGGCAGGUCUCUGGGCUGACACUGACGCUCAUGCACGAAAGCGUGGGGAGCAAA